rnacentral:rRNA from 1 species
CACCGGCAGCUCUAGUGGUAACAAUUUUAUUGGGCCUAAAGCGUCCGUAGCCGGUUUAAUAAGUCUCUGGUGAAAUCCUGUAAGCUUAACUGUGGGAAUUGCUGGAGAUACUAUUAGACUUGAGACCGGGAGAGGUUAGAGGUACUCCCAGGGUAGAGGUGAAAUUCUGUAAUCCUGGAAGGACCGCCUGUUGCGAAGGCGUCUAGCUGGAACGGUUCUGACGGUGAGGGACGAAAGUUAGGGGCGCGAACCGGAUUAGAUACCCGGGUAGUCCUAACUGUAAACGAUGCGGACUUGGUGUUGGGGUGGCUUUGAGCUGCUCCAGUGCCGAAGGGAAGCUGUUAAGUCCGCCGCCUGGGAAGUACGGUCGCAAGACUGAAACUUAAGGAAUUGGCGGGGGAGCACCACAACGCGUGGAGCCUGCCGGUUUAAUUGGAUUCAACGCCGGACAUCUCACCAGAGGCGACAGCUGUAUGAUAGCCAGGUUGAUGACUUUGCUUGACUAGCUGAGUGGUGGUGCAUGG